AGAGUUUGAUUCUGGCUCAGAACGAACGCUGGCGGCGCGCCUAACACAUGCAAGUCGAACGAGAAUCCGGGGCAACCCGGUAGUAAAGUGGCAAACGGGUGAGGAAUACAUGGGUAACCUACCCUUGAGAAGGGAAUAACCCGCCGAAAGGUGAGCUAAUACCCUAUACGCUUUACUCUUCAUGGAGAGUAAAGGAAAGUUAAGCCGUGGGCUUGGCACUCAAGGAGGGGCUCAUGUCCUAUCAGCUUGUUGGUGGGGUAAUGGCCUACCAAGGCUACGACGGGUAGCUGGUCUGAGAGGAUGAUCAGCCACACUGGCACUGAGAUACGGGCCAGACUCCUACGGGAGGCAGCAGUGAGGAAUAUUGCGCAAUGGGCGAAAGCCUGACGCAGCGACGCCGCGUGGGGGAUGAAGGUUUUCGGAUUGUAAACCCCUUUUGUGAGGAAAGAUAAAGUGGGUAACCACUUAGACGGUACCUCAAGAAAAAGCCACGGCUAACUUCGUGCCAGCAGCCGCGGUAAUACGAAGGUGGCGAGCGUUGUUCGGAUUUACUGGGCGUAAAGAGCACGUAGGCGGUUGGGUAAGCCUCUUGGGAAAGCUCCCGGCUUAACCGGGAAAGGUCGAGGGGAACUACUCAGCUAGAGGACGGGAGAGGAGCGCGGAAUUCCCGGUGUAGCGGUGAAAUGCGUAGAUUUCGGGAAGAAGGCCGGUGGCGAAGGCGGCGCUCUGGAACGUWCCUGACGCUGAGGUGCGAAAGCGUGUGGAGCAAACAGGAUUAGAUACCCUUGG
rnacentral:rRNA from 1 species